ACCCUAGAGCGUCGCUGGUGCAAAACCUCGGGUGCGGGGAGCAUCUUAGCUGUUUGAGGUUCUAGAAAGCGUUUAACGUCUUAAAAGAAACACCUGCGGGUGAAGACAGGUGUCAGCGGACUCUUGGAAGAGAGGAGGUGAUGUUUCUUUUACUUAUGGGAAAUUUAGGGAUUGAAACCUGAAGACGAAGCCGAGGUAUCCUCCCAGAAGAAGCUCCUUUCGCACAAAUUACUCGUGGUUGAAAGUCUUAAGUCGUGAUUAAAACAAAUGCCUUUAAAGUGCCCAAUUUAUAGGCAGUAACGCAACCUUACUUUCUCUUACCGCUUUUAUAGGGAUUCCCCUAGGCAGUUUGCUGACAGUAUUUUAGGUGGGGAAGAAAAGUGAUUAAUGGAAUGCCCUAAAAGCUUAUUGCACAGAGGAAGGGAGGCUAGAGUGGAAUGAGAGAAUGACAAAUUUGGAGGCGACAAUAACUGAACAAGAGAAAUCUAUGAAAACACCGGAAACCUGGCACGAGGCCUUAAAAGCUUCUAAGCAGGCUUGAACUACCACACGAGGUUUUGAAGCAUAUGUGUCAGAACUCUUGGGUGGGCGGGAAAGAUAAGGAAUGUUAUGGGAGAUUCCCUUCUUAGAAGCUAUCCUAAGUAGUGUUUCGUGUCCUCCUGUGAGUUUUUCCUGUUUCAUCCUCCUAACAAAUGCAUUAGGUUUGUGACACGCAAGCAAGUCCUCAGAAUAAAUUAUACAUACAGUUGAAAAGAUAAUCUUUCCACAUUUGAAAUUCUGUGACACACUCUUUAUUGAACUCAUUAAGACCUAAUCGUAGCCAGUUCUGUAUCUCAUUUAUCCAUGUUAGAGCAUGACAGUUCCUCCUGGGAUAUCAACAGAACUUUACUUCCGGGACGGCACUAAUCCGAGGCUUGACAGGUCCCAGCAGGUGAUAGGUCUCACCUAGUGAUAGUUAGAAUUUAACUUGCACAAGAUUAACUAGAGUUCAGGCCAGAACAGCUGGAAGGGGCAGCUUCCAAAUCUUAUACAUUUGCCCUCUUGCUUUUUUCUCAAUAUCAGUUGAGGACAAAGUAAGGAGAAAGCUUUUCUUCUACAGUGUAAUAAAGCUCCUAUUCAGAGUGCCCACCAUCCAUACUCCGGAGGCUAAUGACAGUCAUUACCAAGUGACAGUCUUGUGGCAUUUGGCAUUUAGGGCUACUUAGUCUGGACUUAAGGGCGCCUACUCAUUGGAUUUAAGUUUACUGUUGUUAUGGACACCCAUGGAAUGCUAGCUUGUCACAUAAAACCUUAAUAUCAAACAUCACUUGCCUUUUAGAAUCAUUCGCAAGAGUAUGUGGCUUAUGAAUGAGUCAUUUUGAUAUAAGAUGGAAGCUUAUAUCAGUGAUUCUGUCUAGAAGGAAUUAAAAAGCAGAUUUUCAUCAGGAGCAAGCAUGUUUGUAAGACAAAUGUGCACAGAGGCUAACAGAAUUUCAGGAGUUACUUUUGCCCUAUGGCAAGAUUGUUCUCCAUACUUAAUUAUGUUACAGUAUCAUAUCCUGAACCCUGUGUCCUGGUCUAUUCGAUGAGCUGUCUCUCUUAUGAAUUUUUAAAUAACGAGGUCGUGGUUCACAAAGAUGAUCAUAAAUCCAUUUAAGGCAAAGAUGAACUCCAAAGAAUAUUAGACUUGUACAAACUUAGUACUUGACAGGGCUUUGGAAAUUAAACUCUAGCUCCUUGUUGUACAGAUAAAGAAACUGAAGCUUAAGUGAUGUGCUCAGAAUUACUUGGUUGGGGACAAAUCCUGGGCUAGGACCCAAGGUUGCUAAUUCAUAUAAUUCUGGGAAGAUGCUUCCUCUUCCUGCUGCCUUCUCCUCCUCACCCCAAAAGCAAUGUAUUUUUUAAAUUAAGAUUAAUUUUAGGAUUCACUUCCAUUGAAGACCAGUCAUGAGGACUUCAGUUCUGAUACAGCAAGUGAUAUAGAUACUAUGAAAAUAAUUCAGUGUCAUCAAACAGCUUUUGAUGUAGUCUCACUUUUAUCCAAACAAGAAAUGAAAAGCAAUAAAUUAUUAUAGCUAUGUUGUCUCUUUGUCUUCCUUUCUGUUACAGGUGUAUAUCAAAAAGUCAGUAUUAACCCAUGUGAUACUUUGAGUUUUAGUUGAAAAUUGUCUUCCUUGUGACCUGAAUAAACCACUAUUUUAUUGAUAGCAUACAUACCUGGUCAAAAUAAUUUCACAGUUAUGUGCACAGAGCCUCUAGCCUUUUCCACGUAUGGCUGAAUUGGUCCACCGUGCAUCAAAACAUCAUCCACGGACCUAGGCUAUUCUCCCUUUUGCUAGCCUAGCAGAACCAUUGGCUCCCUCCUUCCAGCAAACUCCAGAGUUAGCUAGUUCUAUAUGCCAUGUACAGGAGUGUCUCCUUUUCUUCACAGUAUCAGGACACACCAUGAGUUGGUUAUUUGCUGCCAGUGUUUAGUCUCCAACUGUACCCUACUUACUUCAGGGUCAGAUUAAAAUUUACCACUCGUAACCUAGUAUAAUAGACCUAUGCGUGGCCCCCAUCAUUGACCUCCUAAGUACAAGACUCCCUUUUCUGAAACUAAAAACUGGAAAUGCUGUUAUGGGUCAGCCAUCCAGACCUCUCAGAAGGGACCUUAAAGUCUGUCCCUUUCUUUCAGAAGUUAAAACUUAGAAUCCUCAUCUUCCUCACAGAGUAGGGUGAAGAAUCAUGGAGGCAGUUUUGGAAUAGCUUUGCAAUCUUUGAAGCACCUUGUGUCUGUCACUUUCCAGCACUGGGAACUCAGGGGCUUAAUUGGACUUACAGUUCCAUGUGGCUGGGGAAGCCUCACAAUCAUAGCUAACUCUAGAGUUUGCUGGAAGGAAGGAGCCAAUGGUUUUGCUAGGCUAGCAAAAUGCAGAAUAGCCUAGGCAAAUUGCUUGACCUCAGCCUCAGUGUCUUUAUCUGUUAAACAGAGAUAAUACCCAAAUCGCUAAUGUGAAAAUUAAGUGGGAUAAUGUGAUGUGUGCCUGCCACAUGGAAAGCAUCUCAUAAAUGGUAGUUGUUAUUCUUAACAAUUAUGGUAAUGAUAAAUGUAAAGCAUUUUACCUAUUUACAAGUAUUCUUAUUCAAAUUACUCAGUAAAGUCUUGGCAUUGCGCUUGCCUCUUUUUCCUGCUCUCCACUCAAGUGGAGACCUGGACUCUUGCAGAGGGCAUGAGACUGGGAUUUCCCCAGCUAUCUUGCAGCUACCCAGGGAGGUAAUGGGCAGGAAGUGAAUGCCAAAGAGGGUACAGACCCAGUGGCAGAGCCAGGAACCUCUGGUAUUGGGAAGCCUGAUCUAUGUGAAAUUCCCCUACAGUAAAACUAAACAUUGACUAAGCACCUUGGCAUAGGAAAAGAGCCAGGUUGAUUUUUUUUCCCCACUACUUUCAGAUCUGGGACAAGGAUAGGGGAAAAAGGUAGAAACAUGAGGAAUCAAGAGAGGUGCUUUCCUCUUUUACAAAUUCUCUACUCCACUAAGGAAAAACCCAUGUUUCUUUAAAUGCUUGUUGUUUAUAUGCUGGUAAACACAAACUCUGCCCUAUGGAGUUUUUUUUAAAGCUUAUAUUUAUUAAUUAUAAAUUUAUGUUUUAAAAUGUUUAUUGUAUAAGGUUUAGAAAAGAAAAAACUUAAAAUACCUAUAAUCCCACCCUCCAGAAUUUAUUUUUAACAUUUUGUAUAUCCUAUUUUUCCCAUAAAUCAAUUACUUAAAAAAAAACCUGGACUCUUAGUAUAUAUACUGUUUUGUGGCAAUCUUUUCUACUUAAUUUGUUAUUAACAUGUCCCAAUGUCAUUUAAUAUUUUUCUUCCGUAUAUAAUCCCAUUACGUGAAUGUGCAUCCAGGUGGUAUGUACAAGAGUAGAGAACUGUCCAACCAAUUCUCUACUCUUGGGCAUUGAACUUGUUUCAGUUUCCUAAAAAGAUUCAUUGAUUUAAAUGGGCUGCUGCUUUCUCUAAAUGACGGUGCUCCGGGAAUGUCUACUGAACCAAUGGCAAUGCCUACUGGCUCCACCCUUUCUUCAUGGAGACUGAUAAAGUGGCCAGGAAUUUUUUUCUCUAUGUUCUGAUAUUACAGAGCUAAGAAAGGUGAAGAUAGUAGCCUGAUAGCUACUGAAGGAUUUCUGCUUACCCUCUGUCUCCACAGAGUUUUCUAUUCUUUAACCUGAAGAAAAGGUGUUUAGCUGAGGAGCCAGGGUGGGGAGGUGAUAUGGAGGGGAUGGUGGAUGGAAAUCAGAGUUUGUAUUAGUCCAUUUUCACACUGCUGAUAAAGACAUACCCAAGACUGGGCAAUUUACAAAAGAAAGAGGUUUAAUUGAAGUUUCAGUUCCAUGUGGCUGGGGAAGCCUCACAAACAUGAUGGAAGGCAAGGAGGAGCAAGUCAUGUCUUACAUGGAUGGCGGCAGGCAAAGAGAGAAUGAGAACCAAACGAAAGAGGUUUCUCCUUAUAAAACCAUUAGAUCUCGUGAGACUUAUUCACUAUCAUGAGAACAGUAUGGGGAAAACCGCUGCCAUAAUUCAAUUAUCUCCCACCAGGUCCCUCCUACAACAGUGGGAAUUAUGGGGGAUACAAUUCAAGAUGAGAUUUGGGUGGGGACACAGCCAAACUAUCAGGGCUCCAUCAGUAAAUCCUCACAAAACUCCUGGCAUAUGUGUCCCCAUUUACAGAUGAGGAAAGUAAAACUGGGAGAGAUAAUUUUUCUAAGACUGCACAGCUAGUUACAAAACCAGAGUCUGACUCUUAGCCUUUGUUCUAAGCUCUUCCCACCAUGCACUGCUCCUAAAAACUUAUUGAUAUAACUUCAUUCUUCUUUUCUUUGGAAAAUUUGUUGUCAGUCAUCUAAGAUGUAUUUAUCUGCUCCCUAAAAAUAAAAUUAAAAAACCCCUCCUGACCAGGAUUUUCUUCUGCCUAUGGGCUUCCCCAGUCAGCUAGCUCUUGGAUAAAAGAACAUAUCCUCAUUCUUUGAUGAAGACUCAGAUAACAUAACUUUUCCCCUACAUACAUGCAUAUUUUCUUAAAGAAGUGACCUCACUCUACAAGUUGGAAGGUCAAACUCAUAAAAGGAAGUCUUUAUGAACCCUGCAUCAACUUAAGAACAUUACACACAUAUUUGUUUCCUUAGCUUUGGGGAUUUAUGAAAUAUUUUCUAUAUAGCAAUAAGCCUAUUUUUCUGCUAUGGUUUAUACACUGGUUCUGACGUAAGUUCUGAAAGAAGCUUCUCAGAAUUGUUGACACCCAUGAAGCAUCUUUGAAAUGGGUGUGUAACCUCAUAAUAUAACACUUAGAAGGCAGUGACACUUACGUGGAAGUGUAAUUUCUAGAAUGUCUCAUUAAAGCCUCUUUACACAAUCUAAUCCAAAUCAGUAUCAAUCAAGGUUUAUGUUUCAAAUAUUUUUUUCCAUCCUCCUCAUCCUAUUCACAGACACACCACACCCCUAACACACUACCAACACCUUAGCCCAAGCUACCAUCACCUCUUGCCGGCAUUUUCUCAGUAGCCUCCUAACAAGUCUUUCUGAAUCCACUUUUACUCUCUUCUAGGCAGCCAGGGGUGGGUGAUAUGGUAGAAUACCUUAGUGAUUGUGUCACAAGUCACCCCCUACCACUCCCCAGCUUAGAACAGUGGCUUCCCAUUGCUCCUUAUAGUGACCCUUCCUUCUCCCUAUGAUCAUUUGGCCUUCACACAUGUGUAUUCCCUACCUAGAAUGCUACAUCCUUCCCCUCCUUCUCUUCUUCCUCCCUUCCCCACUCCCUGCCCCUUAGUCUAAUGAUUCCUAUUCAACUUUGAUAUUUAUUGAGUGGUCAUCCUCCUGGAAAAACUUGAUCCUACCUGGCUUAUAUCUCCUAGGCACCGUGCACUUCUUCUUUAUAGAACUUUACACAAAUCUACUUACACUGUAUAUGAUCUGUUUCUCCAUUGGUCUUCAAGCUCCCUAAACAUAUGGGCCCUGUUGCUUUGGUUUACCACUUGUCCACAAUGUCUGGCAUUAGGUGCUCAAUUAAUAUA
rnacentral:lncRNA from 10 species